rnacentral:rRNA from 1 species
GAUGAACGCUGGCGGCGUGCUUAACACAUGCAAGUCGAACGAAGCACCUUGAUUCGAUUCUUCGGAUGAAGAUCUUGGUGACCGAGUGGCGGACGGGUGAGUAACGCGUGGGUAACCUGCCUCAUACAGGGGGAUAACAGUUAGAAAUGACUGCUAAUACCGCAUAAGACCACAGCACCGCAUGGUGCAGGGGUAAAAACUCCGGUGGUAUGAGAUGGACCCGCGUCUGAUUAGGUAGUUGGUGGGGUAACGGCCUACCAAGCCGACGAUCAGUAGCCGACCUGAGAGGGUGACCGGCCACAUUGGGACUGAGACACGGCCCAAACUCCUACGGGAGGCAGCAGUGGGGAAUAUUGCACAAUGGGGGAAACCCUGAUGCAGCGACGCCGCGUGAGCGAUGAAGUAUUUCGGUAUGUAAAGCUCUAUCAGCAGGGAAGAAAAUGACGGUACCUGACUAAGAAGCACCGGCUAAAUACGUG